AUUCUUGAACCUUUUUUUCAGGAUUCUGCUAGCAGAAAGAGAUUAUUGCAACGGAAGUAUUGGGCGUUGUCAUUGAUCACCUAGGCGAUCAAAGGGAGUGAUUUCUGCACCACUGGGAAAGGUGCUGAUGGACAAUGGAAAAUCAGAUCGUAUAACCAUUAUCAACGGCAGUCAGACGAUCCCAUCUUAUCAUGCAAUAACAGAGUAUGAAGUGAUUGAGUCUCGUCAUGGCUAUACAUGGCUACAGCUGUCACCGCUUACUGAAGAAAGCAUCAGCUUAGAGUGCAUUGUGCUGAGGCACUGGGAACUCCAAUAGUUGGGGACUACAAGUAUGGCUGGCAAGCUCAUAGAAACUUCAAAAAUUGGCAAGUAUCAAAUUCUGAAGAAAGUUUUAGCAGGAAGCUUAAAGGGAGGGCUCUUCCCUUUGGCCUUGAUCUGGAUAACGGAAGCAUUUCUGAUGAGCGACCUCGGCUGCAUCUACACAGUAACCAAGUUCUAUUGCCUAAUAUUGCUCUGGCUUUGCAAAAUAUGCAGCUAUCUUCAGGAUAUGAUUUGUCAGAACUGGAAACUCUUGAAUUGUUGUUCAUUGCCUCCAUACAUGCAAAAAGCUUAG